rnacentral:misc_RNA from 1 species
GAUGAAGAACGCAGCGAAAUGCGAUAAGUAGUGUGAAUUGCAGAAUUCAGUGAAUCAUCGAAUCUUUGAACGCACAUUGCGGCCAUAGGUAUUCCUUUGGCCAUGCCUGUUCGAGCGUCAUUUACACCCUCAAGCCUAGCUUGGUGUUGGGCGCCUGUCCCGCCGUUUUCGCGCGCGGACUCGCCUCAAAGUCAUUGGUGGCGGUCGUGCCGGCCCCCUCGCGCAGCACAUUUGCGCUUCUCGGAGGCCCGGCGGAUCCGCGCUCCAGCAAGACCUUUCACGACUUGACCUCGGAUCAGGUAGGGAUACCCGCUGAACUUAAGCAUAUCAAUAAGCGGAGGA